rnacentral:tRNA from 1 species
GCGUGCCUCCAGCAGGCCGUGCCGGCGAUGCCAGUCCUCCAGUGACUCGUCCGGGUAGUGCUGCGCAUGGCGAUCGUUCGGGCCGCGCGGCACGCGC